CAGGGAGAUGGAUGGUCACGAAGGUGAAUUUCCCAGGGUAAGGCUUAUCCGCUGACCCCUGCAAUUUCCCCAAAUGCGGGAAACUCGUG
rnacentral:snRNA from 1 species